GUCUGGUCCGCUUAAAAGUCUAGAGUCUCAAGACGUGGAGUUUUGAGGAAUUUCAAUGUGCUUGACCAAAUUAAAAAAGAAAACACACCGUUGGAUUCCAUUUGCAUGAUGGCCCAGAACAGCCCAAGUGCCUCUGACAUGAUAAAAGUCACGAUGAGAGGGACAGAGCAGGAGAGUUCCAUAGGUGGUAGGAGUCCCAGUAGCGGACCUUGGAUAGAGAGGAAAACCUGGGAGCGCUGGAGCCCUCUAGGUAAGUUAAGAAUCAAGAAGGCCGUCAGGGAGCUCGGGUUGAGGCUGAAUACCAACUCAGGCAGCCUGGGCUCCGAUACAUUCCUUUGAUGUGGAUAUUGAUUAACCUUUGUGGCUUAAGGGCUCUAGGAGGUGACCCUUCCACAGGCCUUGUUUUAUUACAGGAAACACACGUUCCCCACCGACUUGGUUCACUGUAGGAAAUGUGAAUCUCUAGCCCACCCCUCAACUGACAAAAAAGGAAUGAGAGCAGUGGUGACUUAAUCUAAGGAAAGAAAAGGACAAGAAAACCAACCCCCCCCAAAAAAAAACCCCAUAAAACUUCGGGGACAUUUCCAACCCUAAAACCCCUAUGGGGCAAGGACUGAUAUGGGUAAUUGAGCAAAGCCAAUGGGAGGAAACCACGUCCCCCACCUUUAAGAAAUAAAAACCCCUAAAGGACGAUGGGGAAAGGGGGGCUCUUCUCCCCCCUCCCAGCUGUCCUGGGAACUAUUUGCUUUCCUUUAAUAAAGACUUUGCUUGCUUGCUGCCUGUGUGUUGGCCGAGUUCAUUCCUCGACCACCGACCACCAACCACUGUGCACAGGGACCCAGAUUCCGGGGCCGUCUUUUCCGGUGUCAUCUUUUGGGGCCUCGUCCAGGGUCCGAUUGGCUGGAGACAGUCGAAGCGAGUUAACAAGGCAAACUUUCCUUCCCCUUCUCCCUCCUCCAGAAUCUUCUCUCUCUACGCAGUAGCCUUUGUGAAACAUUUAGGAAAUCACAGUUGCUCUAUUUCUAAAGGUUCGCAAUCGUUAAAAGGCAUGUAAGAAACAAAAUGUUGUUUUUGUGAAUUUUAAAGGGUGAUAAAGGGCUUCAAGUAACUUCUCGGGCGGCGGGAGGCCCUGUGAUUCGCUUGUGCUUCAGGUUCGAGUCUGUGGCUCCAGGGCCUUAGCGGCUACAGAGUCCCUGUGGGUCCUAACCUGUCACUCUGCGGGGACCUCGCAUGGCUUAGGGCUGCACGGACUCUGAGGGUCCACGUCCCUCCCUGCGCGUUCAAUCCAAGUCCGGGGCUUAGAUGAACCAGCCAAUUGCUAAGAGGCACCUAAACCCCAAAAGGGGGCAGCCAGGCGGACAUCUGAAGGGCCACCUUCUGAGAAGGGGGCACCCUCCCUUGUUUUGUCUGUGACACCGACACAGGGCGGCCACACAGGGUGGGACCUAACCCAGAAAUCCAGGCAAAGAUUUCAAAAAGGAUUUUCUGGAGAUUACGGUGUAAACCUAACCUGAUCUUUUAUCAAUUCCUUUGCUAUUACCUCAAAGAGAGCUGCGGAGGUAAAGGAAACAGACCUCUGGAUGCUCAGACCCCCCUGAGUUGUUACCUCGCCUGUGGGGGGAAGGAGUUCAUUAGUAUUCAUCCAACUUAGGCCAAGUGUUUAGCCUCAGAGCCUGGGCAUGGUCAGUUUUGCUUUUUGCUAGUUACUUUCACCCUGGUUGGAGAAGCCGACAGCUGACUUAUCCAAUUUAACUAGUUAACUGUGGCUUCGGAUCUUUCCUGAUCUCAAUAGAGGCCAUGUCACACUGAGCAUCUUAGGAUUCCAAAACUCAGGGCAGGGCCUGUGUACCUGGGGGUUUCUUCACCUCUGUCCAGAGACAGGCAAUGGGCAGGGACGGCAGGAAGAGAGGCCACGCUGGUAGAGAGUGGUUCAUUCCCGUCGGCCUGAGGUUGGAUGGGACAUUUGACCACGAAUGUCUAGUCGCUCCGUAGGAGAGGGGACACUCUCACAUAGCCAAGAAAGGACAAUAGGGGCUGCACGCUGGUCUUUUUUCUCUUUUUCAGAUGGGAGCCACAUGCUCGAGCCUGGGGCAUGGCUCAAUAGCAACUCCCCUGACAUGUGCCUUGAAGAGCUAGAAAAAGUUUGACCCUGAGACUCUGAAAAAGAAAUGUUUGAUUUUCUUUUGCACAAAAGCCUCCAUCCAACCUGUCGGAUGGAUGGAGCGUGAUGGCCAUUUGAAGGCUCUCUAGCUUAUAAUGCUAUUCUUCAACGAGACCUAUUGUGUAGACGAGAAGGGAAAUGGUCAGAGGUGCCUUAUGUCAGAUCUUCUUUCUUUUUUUUUUUUUUUUUUAAUUUUCCCACUGUACAGCAAGGGGGUCAGGUUAUCCUUAGAUGUAUACAUUGCAGUUACAGUUUUUUCCCCCACCCUUUCUUCUGUUGCGACAUGAGUAUCUAGACAUAGUUCUAGAUCUUCUUUCCAAGGAGGGAAGACACUACGCUGAGGAACGCUGUGGGCUGCCCCAGUGCGUCAUGCCAACGCCCUCAGGAUAUGCUAGGUGCCCAGCAUAUCCUGGCCCAACUGGGUCAGACCCUCCCGAAGCUAAUCAGCCUUCUCCAAGACCACCCAAGGCUCCUCCUCUUCCCCCUCCAGUGCCAAAGUUAUAUCCCUCUCCACUCCCUUUACAAGAAGUAGCAAAUGGAGAAGGGGGACCCAUACGGGUCCUUGUGCCUUUUUCGCUUCAAGACUUAAGGCAGAUAAAAACAGAUUUGGGAAAAUUUGCUGACGACCUAGAGAGAUACGUUGAGGUCUUUCAGGGUCUCACACAGUCCUUUGAGUUAGCCUGGAAGGAUGUCAUGUUAUUACUAGAAUGGACAUGGACUAUAAGUGAAAAAAAUAAAGUCUUAGAAAAGUCUCAAAGCUGAGGAGACGACUGCUGUGCUAGAAAUGCUAGAGGCAGACGAGGAGAGGAGUGAACAAGAGUCCCCACCGGGUCUCAGGCAGUUCCUAUGAGCGACCCUAAUUGGUCUGCUGAUGAGGGGGUAACGGCAAUUGGCAUAGACAUCAUUUUAUUUUAUUUUUUAUUUUUUAUUUUUUAUUUUUGUCUUUUGUCCUUUUAGGGCCACACUCGCGGCCUAUGGAGGUUCCCAGGCUAGGGGUCCAAUCGGAGCUGUAACCGCCAGCCUACACCAGAGCCACAGCAGCGCGGGAUCCAAGCUGUGUCUGUAACCGACACCACAGCUCAUGGCAGUGCCGGAUCCUUAACCCCCUGAGCAAGGCCAGGGACCGAACCCGCAACCUCAUGGUUCCUAGUCAGAUUCAUUUCCACUGCACCACGACAGGAACUCCUAGACAUCAUAAUAUUACUUUUAUAGUUGAGGGACUAAAAGCCUCACAAGUAAAGCCUGUUAACUACUCCAAACCUUGAGGUUUGUCAAGGGGAAUGAGAGUCCAUCAGCUUUCUUAGAAAGACUCAGAAAGGCAUUGCGAAAACAUACACCAAUGGACCCAGAAUCAAUGGAGGGCCAAAUAAUUCUUAAAGACAAAUUUAUAACUCAAUCGGUGCCAGACAUAUGGCGAAAGCUCCAAAAAUUGGCUUUUGGCCCUGAUCAGGACCUGGAGCAUCUCCUUGGAAGAGCAACUCAAGUAUAUUAUAAUUGGGGGCAGAAAGAAUGAAAGGAAAAGAGGAGAGACAGAGAAAAGGCUGAGGCUCCAGUUAUGGUGCUACAGGGAGUCAACCUGGGAGCUUCCAAGGGGAGAGGACUAGGGCAGAGACCUAAGCCUGGAGCCUGUUUCCUCUGUGGAAAAGAGGGACACUUUAAAUGCCCUGAAGUUCCCAUCAUGGCUCAGUGGUUGGCGAAUCCAACUAGGAGCCAUGAGGUUGUGGGUUCAAUCCUUGGCCUUGCUCAGUGGGUUAAGGAUCCGGCGUUGCCGUGAGCUGCGGUGUAGGUUGCAGACUCGGCUCGGAUCCCACAUUGCUGUGGCUGUGGUGUAGGCCGGUGGCUACAGCUCCAAUUGGACCCCUAGCCUGGGAACUUCCAUAUGC
rnacentral:lncRNA from 1 species